UACGUAGGUGGCAAGCGUUGUCCGGAAUUAUUGGGCGUAAAGAGCUCGUAGGCGGUUUGUCGCGUCUGCCGUGAAAGUCCGGGGCUCAACUCCGGAUCUGCGGUGGGUACGGGCAGACUAGAGUGAUGUAGGGGAGACUGGAAUUCCUGGUGUAGCGGUGAAAUGCGCAGAUAUCAGGAGGAACACCGAUGGCGAAGGCAGGUCUCUGGGCAUUAACUGACGCUGAGGAGCGAAAGCAUGGGGAGCAAACGGG
rnacentral:rRNA from 1 species